CACGUAGGGGGCGAGCGUUGUCCGGAUUCAUUGGGCGUAAAGGGCGCGCAGGCGGCCCGGAAAGUCGGAUGUGAAAACUCGAGGCUCAACCUCGAGCGUGCACCCGAUACUGCCGGGCUUGAGGCAGGUAGGGGAGAUCGGAAUUCCUGGUGUAGCGGUGAAAUGCGCAGAUAUCAGGAGGAACACCGGUGGCGAAGGCGGAUCUCUGGGCCGUAACUGACGCUGAGGAGCGAAAGCGUGGGGAGCGAACAGG
rnacentral:rRNA from 1 species